rnacentral:rRNA from 1 species
UACGAAGGGGACUAGCGUUGUUCGGAAUCACUGGGCGUAAAGCGCACGUAGGCGGAUGUGUCAGUCAGGGGUGAAAUCCCGGGGCUCAACCUCGGAACUGCCUUUGAUACAGCACGUCUCGAGUCCGGAAGAGGAGAACGGAAUUCCCAGUGUAGCGGUGAAAUGCGCAGAUAUUGGGAAGAACACCAGUGGCGAAGGCGGUUCUCUGGGACGGUACUGACGCUGAGACGCGAAAGCGUGGGGAGCGAACAGG